UCUGUCUGCCAGAAAAGAGCGAGGCUCAGUCUGGUUAAAAAGGGAGAAAAAUUCCACUGCGCAGGCCCAUUAGUCAGUACCCAGCACAACCUUCCUCUCUCACAAAGAUAGUAGGUCACUAUUGCAUAGUGGCUUCCCCAGCAAUUUCCCACCGAGUUCAUUUGCCUUGGACUGGAAGAUGGGGGGCUGCUCAGGUCAUGAGAGUGCUGAUUUCCCAUUCCCAUGGGUGCUCCAAAUUCCCAAGGGAGUCUUCAUAAACCUAAGAAUGCAUCCAGAAGAAGGAUCUCAUCUCCUCUAUGAAUGGAUCAUGCUUUCACAAGACAGGUCUGCACAAUAGACUAUUUGCAACUCCAUGUGGAUUCUGAGCUCUUGAUUGUGAAAUCUGAAUCCAUGUAAUUUGAGUGGUUGGGUUAACUUUCCCUAACAAGUGAAAAUUAUCUCCUUAGUUCUUGGGUAGAAAAAAAGAAAGGCAAGCAGAACUUGGGCUAAUCUCACAAUCGCCUCAUUCUUUGCAUUUGCGGAAGCAUUAUACUUUGAGAUAUCAGAGCCCUCGAAUAUUUGCUGAAUUUCUGGAGAUAUCAGCAGAAGUCUUGGCAGGAUGGAGGACAUUUUUGGAUCUAGUUCCCCAAACUACAGUUAUGACAUCCAGGACAAUAAUUAAAUAUUAUUGCAGCUAAGAAUGACUUUUAAUCAAUUUAGGUAAAUUUGUUUAGACAGAGCUGGGAGUUUUUAAGUAAAGCAUGGAGGCUUACGAGUUGUUUAUAGGUAUCAAUAACUUACAUCUGUGAAUGUAGUUUCUUUGUUUAUAAGAACACAUCCGACUCCCUACACCUCUGAGGACAAGUGUGUAAUGCCAUGGUUUGAUGCCAUGCACUAUUUCAUUCCAAGCAAAACCUUGUCAUAGCUCCAGAGGUUAAAAAUCAAUAGCACAGUAUAAAGAUAAAUAUGGACAGUAAAUGAAACUUAAGGACUAGUCUUCCAUGUUAUACCUGCUGAUAUCAAGGUGGUUCAGCUGCUGGGAGUACCUAGUCGUUUGUCAUGAUUCUGGGGUUAAAACUUAAAAGUCAAUGGUAAGAAUCUUCAAGUGGGGCCAGGAGUUCUUGUUGUGGCACAGCAGAAACAAAUCCGACUAGGAACCAUGAGGAUUCGAGUUCGAUCCCUGGUCUCGCUCAGUGGGUUAAGGAUCUGGUGUUGCCGUGAGCUGUGGUAUAGGUCACAGACUAGGCUCAGAUCUGGCGUUGCUAUGGCUGUGGCAUAGGCCAGUGGCUGUAGCUCUGAUUCCACCCCUAGCCUGGGAACCUCCAUAUGCGGUGGGUGUGGCCCUAAAAAUAGACCAAAAAAAGACCAAAAAAAAAUCUUCAAGUGGGGCCAGAUUGUGAUUCAAGAAAAGUAGGUAAAGUUUAAGAUACUUUAUGCAGUUAUUAAGGGUGUGAGCUAAAAAGUUGCCGUGGGCAUUAUGUGUUGCCUCAUAUAAUGCAAUUGGAAAUGCACAAUAGCACUCCCUAAGAAGCAUUCUUGCCAGAAAGAAUUACACCUGGAUUUAAUCAAGCAUCUGGAUAUAACUGCCAGUUUACAGGAAAUUCGGGAGAUAGAGGAAUAUGCUGAACAACAUUAUGAAGAAGAAAGAAGCUCAAUACAGAAAAACGGGAAAUUCUUUGUGAUGAAGGACUGGAUUUCUCCAAACUGUAAAUGACAUUGAGAACAUGGGAGAGGAGAAACUAUUAGGGCUUAAAAAAACUUGCGAAAUAUAUGAAAAAAGUGUCCAGGCCUAGUUUGAAUCUUGAGUUUAUCAAAUCAUCAUUAAAAAUUUUUUUUUGAAAAUUGUCUGGGAAAUUUGAACAAAGACAGGUUAUUAGAUAAUCUUGGUGAAAAUGCAUUAUGAAUAUGUUCAAAACAGAAUCCCUUAUCCCUAUGUAUGUGUUAUAAGUAGAAUAUAUAGUAUUUAUAAUAUAUAUAAAAUAUAAAAAUAUACUAUUUAUUUAUUAUGAAGUAGCUGAGAGUCCCUUUUAAAUAAUUUAGCAAAAAAAGUGAACAUAGAUGAAACAGGCUUAGCAAAAUGUUGAUAAAUGUUGACUCUUGGGCAAUGUGUACCUGAGAUUUCAGUAUACUUUCCUCUCUACUUUUGCACACAUUGAAAUUUUCCAGAAUAUGGUUCCAAAUACACAGAAAGUGCUAGAGAGUUGCAGUUUUCCAGCAGGGGAAUCUUGAAGGCUUGCUGUUGUCUUGCUUUGCGAUGGAGGCAAGGGGUGGUGAUGGGGUCCUAGGUUCACAGCAGCAGAGUGAGCACAAAGAUUGAGGCAGACGGGAGCUGCUGUCUUAUGAGACCCUGGGAUGAUCACUGCUGAAAGAACAGGAUCACAAAUCUAGAAUCACUGCUGUCUCCACCCACACUCCUGUCCUACUUUUUACCCUCCCUUCUACUCAUCCUCAAGCAUAGAUUGGACUCCCAACAUGACGUUUCCUGGGGAAACAGUAGGAGUAAGGCGUAGGCCCUGCCCUUGAGGAGCAGACUCACUAAUAUACAGAGAACGAGAGAGUUAAACAAUACAGACUGACCUUCUUUGCAGAACAGAUGCUGACUCACAGAUAUUGAAAAACUUAUGGUCUCCAGAGGAGGCAGUUUGGGGGGUGGGGAGAUGUGCUUGGGUUAUGGGAUGGAAAUCCUGUGAAAUUGGAUUGUUAGGAUCAUUAUACAACUACAGAUGUGAUAAAUUCAUUUGAGUAAAAAAAUAAAUAAAUAAAACAAACAAACA
ensembl:lncRNA